UAAAACAAAUGAAGAAAAGAAUAAAAAGAAACAAAGAAGAAUAAGAAACAGAGAGCAUUCGAAAAACAGGGGAAGAAAAGGGAAAGAAAAGAAAAAGGGAAAAUUGAGAUUUUGAAGCUUCAAACUUAUUUGCCAACAAAGAACUUGAAGCAUCAGCAUCGAAAAGAAAG